UCGGGAUAGCUCAAAUGGUAGAGCAGAGGACUGAAAAUC
rnacentral:tRNA from 1 species